GAUAUAUAUAUUUUUAAUACUAGUGGUUUUAGUAUUUUAAGUCAAAGGCAUUGACAAUAAUGGUGUUUGGUUCCCACUUCUGUCUAUAGAACUGGGUAAAAUGAUAAGAUUAAAUCUGACCUUAGUGGGUACAUAUGUGUUUAUGCUCUCAUUACAAAAGAUGUUCAGUAGGAAAAUGUUCUUCAGCCUUGCAGGCACAGGCAUAACGAGAUCUGGAAUCUGAAUCUGGAUGAAGUCAAUCAUUGUGUAAGUCGUGGUAUUUUAAGUGAGGGCCAUUAACAGCUGUUACCUGUUACAAUCUGUGAAUAACGUAAAGCCUACAUUACAUUUAAUCUUUUAAAAUAUAUUUUCACUUUCAGGCACAAGUCAUUGCAACAGGUACUGUAGUGGUUGAAGGAAAUUGAAUUGCCUCUAGUGAAUUCUUAGAAGGCUAUGUGUUUGAUUUUGGUGAAUUUUGGUCUUUAGACCUAAGGAAAAGUAAAAGGGUGAUUUUUCAUAUACUCACUGAGCGUAUACAGAAUUGAAAGCACAGAUGGAGUGGGUGUGAUGGUUGGGAGCAUGCUACCUAGAACAAUGUAGCACUACAGUCUGAGACCUGUAGAAAUCUACGGAAUGGGGUCAAAACUUUAGAAAAACUGUAAAUCCUGAAAAAAGUAAGAUGAUUGUGUUGAGGCCUCAUGUUAAAUUGAAUGGCCAACUUAGAUUGUCCUGGUGAGUGUUGCUGCCAGCGUGCUAUACUCUUACCAGCCCAGUACUGGAAGGUACAGCCUGUCUGUUUGGUGUUUCGUAAUGACUUCAGAUUGGAUUCAUCACACCUAACUUCAGAAGUUAAAGAUUAACUGUCUACAACCUACCCAGUCGUGCAGAUAAUGAAGAGGAAUGAGCCACAGCAGGUUUCAAUUCCUGAUUCAAUCACAGACACAAGCUUCCGUGCUCUGGGUUGCCUUGGAGCACCUGGUUCUCUGGGAUUUCUGUGCUGCGGUGGGGUAGCACCUUAACAAGGCAACAAUGUUUUCUCAGGGAAUAUUGAGGAAGAAUAUCUCAAAAUGGAAAAAAGUGGUAUUCUCCAGAAUGAGCUUCUGCCUACCUUCCUUCUGAAGUUUGCAAGCGGUAACAACUUGAAACAGAAGAGGAAAGAAAUAAGAUGCAUAUAAAAUAGCAUCAAAUCUUAAAAGCCUAUCUAAUGCUCUGUGGCGUUGCUAUAAUUAUUACUGCUAAAGUUUCACUGCCACAUGCUGGGAAGUCAAAUUAAAUGCUGCCUCACACUAGCCAGUCCUUGCUCGGACUCUCAGGGAUGGCCUAGUUUAAAUUGGAAUAAGGGGGCAGCUCAGAUCCCUUCUGGGUCAGUUCUCCGGCCGCUGCCAGCUGGCCUGUGGCCAAGGGCAGCGCUCACUCUGACAGAUGAACACAGGUGCCACUGUGCGCUAUGGUUCUCCUGGGCGAAGUACAGAGCCCUGACCAGCCUGGCGGUGCUGUGGCCCCCAUGGUUCCCUCCAUACGAGGCUGUUCUUGGGCACUUGGGCCCAGGGUGGCCACGGCUCCAGGGCUUUGGGGUGUUGGGAAGCCAGAAGCCUCCAGCAGGCUGCCGCUGCCCCUCUGAGCAUGUUUAUUUUAAUGGCUGCCAGGCCCCGCCAGCGGAUAUGAGAUACAGCGCUCCUGCUUUCAGCUGCAUUCAUGUGUACACAUCCCGAUUUUAAAAGCUUCCUGCUUUUUUUUUUUUUCUUUUAAUAACCGCCUUGGCACAGAACUCUGCACUGUUCUCCUGGCCUCUCACUUUCCAGCAGGCACAGGGCUCCCCAGUACAGCAAUGGCCCCGCGCAGUUCCCCGGGUGGGGACAGAAAGAGAUUGAAGGAGAUCGCGGGCUGCGACUCGCACUUUUCGAGUCCUUACUUCCAGAACAUCCCAAACCCUGCCGUGAAGCGAGGCCAUUCUGCGCGGCCGUGCCCCCUGCA